rnacentral:pre_miRNA from 1 species
UCCCUGAGACCACAAUUUGUGCUCUGGCGAGCCAGGUUGUGGCCUUAGGAAUC